AAAUCUUAGAAGUAAACAUAGGCAUAAAUCUUUGCGUCUUUGGAUUAGGCAAUGGUUUCCUAGCUAUGACACCAAAAGCACACGCAGCAGAAGAAAAAAUAGAUACACUGGACAUCAUCAAAAUUAAAAAUUUUUCCACAUAGUGUACGAUUCCAUUUAUAUGAAACGUUCAGAACAGGCAAGUC